AUACGGAGGAUCCGAGCGUUAUCCGGAUUUAUUGGGUUUAAAGGGUGCGCAGGCGGCCAUUUAAGUCAGCGGUUAAAUCGUGGGGCUCAACCCCAUUCUGCCGUUGAUACUGGGUGGCUUGAUUGCGGUCGAGGUUGGCGGAAUUCGUUGUGUAGCGGUGAAAUGCAUAGAUAUGAAGAAGAACACCGAUUGCGUAGGCAGCUGACCAGACCGCAAAUGACGCUCAUGCACGAAAGUGCGGGGAUCGAACAGGAUUAGAUACCCUGGUAGUCCGCACAGUAAACGAUGAAUACUUGUUUUCGGCGAUAUAAUGUCGGAGGCAAAGCGAAAGCGAUAAGUAUUCCACCUGGGGAGUACGCCGGCAACGGUGAAACUCAAAUGAAUUGACGGGG
rnacentral:rRNA from 1 species